CCUACGGGUGACUGCAGUGAGGAAUAUUGGUCAAUGGGCGCGAGCCUGAACCAGCCAAGUAGCGUGAAGGAUGACUGCCCUACGGGUUGUAAACUUCUUUUAUCAAGGAAUAAAGUGAGGCACGUGUGCCUUUUUGUAUGUACUUUAUGAAUAAGGAUCGGCUAACUCCGUGCCAGCAGCCGCGGUAAUACGGAGGAUCCGAGCGUUUUCCGGAUUUAUUGUGUUUAAAGGGAGCGUAGAUGGUUUGUUAAGUCAGUUGUGAACGUUUGCGGCUCAACCGUAAAAUUGCAAUUGAUAAUGGCAGCCUUGAGUACAGUUGGAGUAGGCGGAAUUCGUGGUGUAGCGGUGAAAUGCUUAGAUAUCACGAAGAACUCCGAUUGUGAAGGCAGCUUACUAAACUGCCACUGACAUUGAUGCUCGAAAGUGUGGGUAUCAAACAGGAUUAGAUACCCCAGUAGUC
rnacentral:rRNA from 1 species